AGGGAAAAAGAGCUAAGAAAUAAUUUUGGUCCAAACAUUUAGGUUCUUCCUUCUUAACAAAUGCUGCUGCUGCUGCUGCUGCUGCUGCUGCUGCUGCUGCUGAGAAAACCCAUGGACUGUGUGAUUCUUAAGAUUUGCUUCUUGAAGAUUUUCUUACGUUUAGAGUAGUUGUCCACUCUUGCUCCCAUAGUCAGGUCUCACACAACUCAUCUCUCAGCUGUUCCAAAGACAGAGGUAAAGCCAUGAAUUUGGAGGUGAGGAGGCAGCACCACAAAUGGCCCCUGUCUGAUCAGGCAAAGGCUGCCCACAUCCUGCAUCACCUAACAUGCCAUGUCACAGAUGGGACAGAGUUUUGACAUGUCAGGCAGGUGUGUGUCACCCAUACUCAAAUAGGUCCUGACUGCUGGCAAGCUGCCCUGCAACAGCUCAGUAUCCCAGUGUCUCCUGUGCCCGGGGACCUCUCCUUCCAGACAUCACUCCUAAUCCAUUUUUGUCCCUUGUAUCAAGUAGAAAGAAAUUUGACAGUAUAAAGAAAACAGAAAAACUUUAAACUUCUACAUUCUCUACUGAAUUAAUCAUCUCUGGCAGAUUUGUGGCUUCCUAUGACCCUUGAGUUUUACUGUCUGCUAGCACAUCAGGCACUGAUUUUCCUCUCUUUUUCCCCUACAGCAAGCAUUACAGUGAUCUUCUCAACGCUGACAGGGACAGGGCUUAUUUCCAGUAAAAGGGCACCAUACUUAGCUGUGCAGGGUAAGUGAGGUUAGGGGGAUAGGUGCAUGGGAAUAAUAAAGGCACAGAGGGCAGCAGACUUUCAAUAUGUUUGUGCAGUUAAAUGUAACAAGUUCAGACACUAUCAUUUAUUUUUUUUCUACUGUUCACCAAAAAAAAGCUCUUUAUGUUGUUUUCUCUCUGUGAGUGCUUUCGUAUUUUCCUUAACCUCUGCAUUGCAGUGCAGCUAGGCUGUGCACAUGAAGAUAGACUCCCUGCCCUGGGGAAGAUCCAAGAUAAGCAGAGAAGCGACAUACAAAUGGCAAGGGGGAGAGAGCGAUCUAAUCGCCUGGCCGCAAGCUCUGUGCAUUAAGAUAGUGAAGGCAUACACAGAAGAGGAAAGCUGCUUUCUGCUGGGAGAGGUGGAGCUUUUGAAACCAUAUGGCUGUGGUGGCACAGGGGACACCAUAUAGGGCUUCUGUUGGUGUUACAACACCCUCGGGCUGCUGAGCAAUGCACCUGUGAAGCUGAGGUGACCAAUUCUGCUCCUGCACCUUGUAGGAUGCUGUGGUGUGUGCCCAAGAGGAAGGAGGAGCUACCUUCCAUCUCAUUACAGGUACUUUAAACAUACAAAGUUUGUGAAUCUCCUGGCACCAAGCUCUAGUGGGGUGAUGAUGCUGUAUAAGAUUUCAGAGGUCUAACACAAACACAGUAAACUUCCUCUACAGUGAAUAUCUUGGCUUUGGAAAUUCUGGCCAGGGGAAAGAGGAGCAUUUGGCUUGACAUGUCUACUCUUCUGAUGGCUUUUUUUCAUCCUACUUUCUCACCGACACUUCUGAAAAGAGCUGUCAGAUCACAGCUGCCUGUUUCACACCUCUAUGGGUGAGCAAGGACAAGGGCAGUGGAGCCAAGCACUCAUACCUGGCUGCCACCCAGAUAGCCUGUGUGCACUUGGGCAAGUUGUCAAAUCCUCCACCACCCCUCCCCACCACGCCACAUUUAACAGAGCUCAUUUCUGAGCCCUCCAGGAUGUCUCCCCCUCUGCAGCCACUGCAGAACCAUCAGUCCAUGCUCCAAAACUUCAUGCACGUAACUGAAGAGCCUGGUAAACAUCUCAUUCCAAUCCUCACCUUUCUUUGUGGUCACAGGAUGGCCAGAGACAGGCACUUCCAAGUAAGACAAGGUGGGAUGUAAUGGUCUGGCAUGAGUCUGGGAUGAAGAUCCCCUUCUCUCAUUUCACAGCACCCGGUGAAAAGGUGCUGAAGCUGGGGAAUGGGUGUUUCAAUUUGCUGCCAAAGUGACUUUUGAGUUGGAGUGUCUUCAAUGAAAUGUCUGAGACAUGAUGGAGACUUUAUAUCCAUUUGUUGGGAGGAUUUUUCUAUCUGUUAUGAAACUCUUCACAAAUGCAACUUAAUUUCUUAGCCUUAUAAUAAAUUGUAUAUUCCUGAC
ensembl:lncRNA